rnacentral:rRNA from 2 species
GAAACGACUGCUAAGACUGGAUAGGAAGUUUUAAGGCAUCUUCUUGUUUUUAAAGACCUAGCAAUAGGUAUGCUUAGGGAGGAGCUUGCGUCACAUUAGUUAGUUGGUGGGGUAAAGGCCUACCAAGACUAUGAUGUGUAGCUGGGCUGAGAGGUUGAACGGCCACAUUGGGACUGAGACACGGCCCAAACUCCUACGGGAGGCAGCAGUAGGGAAUUUUCGGCAAUGGAGGAAACUCUGACCGAGCAACGCCGCGUGAACGAUGAAGUAUUUCGGUACGUAAAGUUCUUUUAUUAGGGAAGAAUAAAUGAUGGAAAAAUCAUUCUGACGGUACCUAAUGAAUAAGCCCCGGCUAACUAUGUGCCAGCAGCCGCGGUAAUACAUAGGGGGCAAGCGUUAUCCGGAAUUAUUGGGCGUAAAGGGUGCGUAGGCGGUUAAAUAAGUUUAUGGUCUAAGUGCAAUGCUCAACAUUGUGAUGCUAUAAAAACUGUUUAGCUAGAGUAAGAUAGAGGCAAGUGGAAUUCCAUGUGUAGUGGUAAAAUGCGUAAAUAUAUGGAGGAACACCAGUAGCGAAGGCGGCUUGCUGGGUCUUUACUGACGCUGAGGCACGAAAGCGUGGGGAGCAAACAGGAUUAGAUACCCUGGUAGUCCACGCCGUAAACGAUGAGUACUAAACGUUGGGUAAAACCAGUGUUGAAGUUAACACAUUAAGUACUCCGCCUGAGUAGUACGUACGCAAGUAUGAAACUUAAAGGAAUUGACGGGACUCCGCACAAGCGGUGGAUCAUGUUGUUUAAUUCGAAGGUACCCGAAAAACCUCACCAGGUCUUGACAUGCUUCUGCAAAGCUGUAGAAACACAGUGGAGGUUAUCAGUUGCACAGGUGGUGCAUGGUUGUCGUCAGCUCGUGUCGUGAGAUGUUGGGUUAAGUCCCGCAACGAGCGCAACCCUUAUUGUUAGUUACCAGCACGUAAUGGUGGGGACUUUAGCAAGACUGCCAGUGAUAAAUUGGAGGAAGGUGGGGACGACGUCAAAUCAUCAUGCCCCUUAUGACCUGGGCUACAAACGUGAUACAAUGGCUGUUACAAAGGGUAGCUGAAGCGCAAGUUUUUGGCGAAUCUCAAAAAAACAGUCUCAGUUCGGAUUGAAGUCUGCAACUCGACUUCAUGAAGUUGGAAUCGCUAGUAAUCGCGAUCAGCAUGUCGCGGUGAAUACGUUCUCGGGGUUUGUACACACCGCC